rnacentral:rRNA from 1 species
UACGUAGGGUGCGAGCGUUAAUCGGAAUUACUGGGCGUAAAGCGUGCGCAGGCGGUUCGCUGUGUCCUGUGUGAAAGCCCCGGGCUUAACCUGGGAAUGGCAUGGGAAACUGGCGGGCUGGAGUGUGGCAGAGGGGGGUGGAAUUCCGCGUGUAGCAGUGAAAUGCGUAGAGAUGUGGAGGAACACCGAUGGCGAAGGCAGCCCCCUGGGCUAACACUGACGCUCAGGCACGAAAGCGUGGGGAGCAAACAGG